UACGUAGGGGACGAGCGUUGUCCGGAAUUACUGGGCGUAAAGGGCGCGCAGGCUGUAGAUCAAGUCAGCUGUGAAAUGUCUGGGCUUAACCCGGGCAUGCGGUUGAAACUGUAGUGCUAGAGUACUGUAGAGGCAAGCGGAAUUCCCAGUGUAGCGGUGAAAUGCGUAGAUAUUGGGAGGAACACCGGUGGCGUAGGCGGCUUGCUGGACAGUAACUGACGCUGAGGCGCGAAAGCCAGGGGAGCAAACGGGAUUAGAUACCCG
rnacentral:rRNA from 1 species